CACGUAGGGAGCAAGCGUUUGUCCGGAUUUACUGGGCGUAAAGAGCGCGCAGGCGGUCGGAUAAGUCGAAUGUGAAAGCCCCUGGCUCAACCAGGGAGGGUCACGCGAUACUGAUCGACUCGAAGGCAGGAGAGGGAAGUGGAAUUCCCGGUGUAGUGGUGAAAUGCGUAGAUAUCGGGAGGAACACCAGUGGCGAAGGCGACUUCCUGGCCUGUUCUUGACGCUGAGGCGCGAAAGCGUGGGGAGCAAACAGG
rnacentral:rRNA from 1 species